UACGAAGGGUGCAAGCGUUACUCGGAAUUACUGGGCGUAAAGCGUGCGUAGGUGGUUUGUUAAGUCUGUUGUGAAAGCCCCGGGCUCAACCUGGGAAUGGCAAUGGAUACUGGCAGGCUAGAGUGCGGUAGAGGGUAGUGGAAUUCCCGGUGUAGCGGUGAAAUGCGUAGAGAUCGGGAGGAACACCUGUGGCGAAAGCGGCGCACUGGACCAUAACUGACGCUGAGGCGCGAAAGCGUGGGGAGCGAACAGG
rnacentral:rRNA from 1 species